rnacentral:lncRNA from 1 species
AAGGUUGGCAGAUCCCAGAAAACCUACUCGCACCACCACGACCAACACAUCAUGUAGAUUCUACUACGGUGAGUACGAAUACAAAUAUGUUACUUUCUAUGCUCAUGCUUAGUGUCAAACUUAGUGAUGGCGGAUUUGUUGAUGUGUGGGCCUUCGUGCUGGAUUUGUUCAUAUGUCGGGCUACGUGCUGGAAAUGUGUUUGUCAGCCUUCGUGCCAACGUUUUUGUUGCAGGUUUUGGGAACCUCCCCGUGCAGGGGAGGUGCUGCUGAAAUUUUUAACUUUUGUUUGAACUAUUUACAUUUUUUUCUUCUCACUCACAUGCAAUCUAUUCUCUUUUGUGCAGCAUCAAUCGGCAGCAGCGUCAAACCAUUGCGGAGAGUCGCCGACAUCGCAAGUCGGCCCGUCCCAUCCCUCACAUUCGCCGUGAGCUGCUUGCGGAUUCUUUUUUAUGUAUUGAACUUGUGAACUUGUAGACUAUGAG